GGAGAACACGACAUUACAAACUAGAGUAAUUGCAGUACCCUCUUUUUUUAAUAGUCGGACUGUUCCCGGCUCCACCCGCUUGCUGAGGUCCAUGUCUGUGGUGUGGAUGGGGAACAAGCCUCCCAGAAUGUAAUCCCCGGGGACAUUGAAAAGCUGAUCCACGAUCCUGCCGCUCCCCCUCCCGGAGGCCUCCAGCACACAGGCAGCGGCCAGCACACAGGACAGGACGCCCACCCCGAAACUAGACCUCAUCCUCGUCACCAACCGACACACAGAUCAGCUGAGGAGUCUGCAGGAACUGCCCGCGGGAUCACGCAAGACAAGCAAACAAAUACAAGUGAAAUAAAGCCGGCCAGCAACCCAGAGCAGUGUUAUAGUCCCAGCAGAGCGAGAGAGAGCUCUCUGAUGAAGAACGACGGUGCUGCUUGAAGAGUGUGCUUGUGCGCAGCGCAGCGUGAGACUGCACAAGAGGAGCGGAGCUGCCCGCUGCACAGGGGGAUUGUUUCCAAUGGGCUCUCGAGGGCUGCUCCCUCCCAGGUGUUUCCACUCCUUUGCCUGCCCCUCCGUGAAGGCAUUUGCCUAUCGACGCCGGCUCCGAGGAUAUGGCUAGUCAAAUGUGUGGCUGCAGUGCGGGCAGGAACCUGAGAAAACAACACAGCCUUCUAGGGAAAUGAGGGCCUUUCAUUCUGUAAUCCUUUCCUGUGAGAAGGUGUCUGCGUCCCAUCCGAUGAGAGGGGUCCCGAGCCUGGCGGUACAGAUCACUACCGGGACCCUGACCUCCAAACCCCAGCCUCCCAGUAUGUGUGAACGUCUCUGCUGUGGCGCAGGUACAGUUUCAAUCCUGCAGGUGGCAGCAGAGCUCCAGCACAGACGCACCGCAGAGCGAGAGAAGCAUCAUGGGGGAAGAGUUUCAAAACCAGGGAUGGGAAUUUUUGAGUCAAGUGGUUCACGUUUUUUCAUCCUUUAUUAUUCUGUUUUGAAACACUGAAAGAACCGUAAUAAAUUCAGUGGCAAAUGCUAGUGAAAGCACGGUGCCUGCAGGGAGCCACGGCAGCACAGAUGCCAUGUUUUAAUCAGAACUUUCCAUGGCUUUGCAUCGCCACUUAGAUUUGCAUUCUCUUCAGUGAAUACAACUAUACUGUCAUUCUUCCAAACAGUGCAUUAGAGGCAGCGUUCCCUUUCCUGCAAUGGAAACUGUCUGUGUUGUGUACUUUCCCUUUAAUUCAGUUAAGUGAUCUUCCUGGUUCCAGGUGUGAUUAUUAUAAACGUGUUUCAGUUUCAAACAGACAACUGGACAGGAUUUAUUGAUUGACACUUAACAGCAGCCAGUAACCACUCUGGGCUCUCCUCACUGAUUGGUAGAUAUGGGUCUCCAGGGCGGGUUUAGUAUCCUAGGAGAUCUCAACUGAUAUUGUUAAGAGAGUGAAUAUUUUGCGAGUGUCCAAAAUGAAUAAUAAUUUAAAUUUAAAAAUAAAAAUACACUAAUCACUGCAGCGGUAACUCAGAAACUUUGAGAAGCAGCAACACAGAUUACGUUCUUGACAGUAAAUUAUAUACAAGAACACGUUUUCAAUUUCAUGAUUAAAAUGAAACACUUUACAAUGAAAUGCACC